UACGAGGGGGGCUAGCGUUGUUCGGAAUUACUGGGCGUAAAGGGCGCGUAGGCGGUGUGUCAAGUCAGGCGUGAAAGCCCCGGGCUCAACCUGGGAACAGCGCUUGAGACUGGCACGCUCGAGUUCGGGAGAGGAUGGUGGAAUUCCCAGUGUAGAGGUGAAAUUCGUAGAUAUUGGGAAGAACACCGAUGGCGAAGGCAGCCAUCUGGACAGACACUGACGCUGAGGCGCGAAAGCGUGGGGAGCAAACAGG
rnacentral:rRNA from 1 species